rnacentral:rRNA from 1 species
GAUGAACGCUGGCGGCGUGCUUAACACAUGCAAGUCGAACGAAGCACUCUAUUUGAUUUUCUUCGGAAAUGAAGAUUUUGUGACUGAGUGGCGGACGGGUGAGUAACGCGUGGGUAACCUGCCUCAUACAGGGGGAUAACAGUUGGAAACGACUGCUAAUACCGCAUAAGCGCACAGGAUUGCAUGAUCCGGUGUGAAAAACUUCGGUGGUAUGAGAUGGACCCGCGUCUGAUUAGCCAGUUGGCAGGGUAACGGCCUACCAAAGCGACGAUCAGUAGCCGACCUGAGAGGGUGACCGGCCACAUUGGGACUGAGACACGGCCCAAACUCCUACGGGAGGCAGCAGUGGGGAAUAUUGCACAAUGGGGGAAACCCUGAUGCAGCGACGCCGCGUGAGCGAAGAAGUAUUUCGGUAUGUAAAGCUCUAUCAGCAGGGAAGAAGAAUGACGGUACCUGACUAAGAAGCACCGGCUAA